GCAAGUCGAGGGGUAACAGGAAGGAAGCUUGCUACAGAUGACGACCGGCGCACGGGUGAGUAACGCGUAUAGAACCUACCUUUUACAGGGGAAUAGCCCAGAGAAAUUUGGAUUAAUGCCCCAUAGUAUUAUUGAAUGGCAUCAUUUAGUAAUUAAACAUUUAUGGGUAAAAGAUGGCUAUGCGUUCUAUUAGCUAGAUGGUAAGGUAACGGCUUACCAUGGCUACGAUAGAUAGGGGUCCUGAGAGGGAGAUC
rnacentral:rRNA from 1 species